rnacentral:rRNA from 1 species
AUUGAACGCUGGCGGAAUGCUUUACACAUGCAAGUCGAACGGCAGCACGGGUGCUUGCACCUGGUGGCGAGUGGCGAACGGGUGAGUAAUGCACCGGAACGUAUCCAAUAAUGGGGGAUAACGCACCGAAAGGUGUGCUAAUACCGCAUACGCCCUGAGGGGGAAAGCGGGGGAUCGUAAGACCUCGCGUUAAUGGAGCGGCCGAUGCCGGAUUAGCUAGUUGGUGAGGUAAAGGCUCACCAAGGCGACGAUCCGUAGCUGGUCUGAGAGGACGACCAGCCACACUGGAACUGAGACACGGCCCAGACUCCUACGGGAGGCAGCAGUGGGGAAUUUUGGACAAUGGGGGCAACCCUGAUCCAGCCAUUCCGCGUGAGUGAAGAAGGCCU